UCUCUCCAUAUUGCUGUGCUAAGGGAUUUGUUGUUUUGUAUUACAAUUGUAUGUCCAAUUUCACUCCAAAAGCUUUCUUCCCUGCUGUCUUGAGUCUCAAAACAUCACUGAAGUUGAUAUAUCUGUUUAGGUAUAGAUCUUCUCCUUGGACCUUGGCAUUUCUUGGGCUCCAGUCACAGCUCACUGAGACUGAGAAAGGAGUUCCAAAAUGUUGA
rnacentral:lncRNA from 1 species